GGCCACAGCCAUAUCACCCUACAUUUCAAGAACAGUUACUUAUUGAAGCUAAGCAGGGCUAAGCCUGGUCAGUACCUGGAUGGGAGACCACAUGGGAAAACUAGGUUGCUGCUGGAA
rfam:Danio rerio chromosome 2, GRCz11 reference primary assembly.